rnacentral:lncRNA from 10 species
GCGGAGCUUGCAGUGAGCUGAGAUCGUGCCACUGCACUCCAGCCUGGGUGACAGAGCGAGACUCCGUCUAAAAAACAAUAAAGAAAAAAAACCCUGUAUAUAUUGUUCCUGUUGUAAACAUACCAUUUACCCUAGAAAGAAUAGUCCUCCUGUGAUUGUGUAGUAUUUCUUAAAUCUGAAUUUGGUCAAAGUAUUUGGUAAUGUUGGUCCAUAUAUAUUUUUAUUUGUUUUUCCAGUUCCAUUUAUUGCCCAGAAAAGGUAUAUGUAAAAUGACUAAACAUAUUUAUGGACAUAUCUCCUCCUUCCUUUGAUUCUGUCCAUUUUAUAUUUUUUCUUGUAGUUUCAAGCUCUGUUAUUAGGCACAUGUACAAUCAUGUUUGUUAAGUCUUCAUGAUGAACUGAACUUUAAUUUUUAUGAGGUGCUCCUCUUAUCUCAGGUAGUAUUUUAACAUAAUUUUUCUGUGAUUAAUGUGGUCACUGCAGCUAUCAUGUGUCUACUAUUUGCAUGGUAUAACAACUCGGAAUGUGUACUUUUGUCCUAUGUGUAUUUUUAUUAUUAUAAUGCAUUUUUAGGUGACCAUUACUUGGGUCUCACUUUUUUAUUUAUUGUGACAACAUUUGCAUUUUAGUUGGUAUACUCUGUUAAAUAAUAUUUAAUGUAAUUUUCGAACUGUUGGAUUGAAGUCUCCAAGUUUUCUAUGCAUUUUUCUGUUAGCCUUUUCUGGUUUCAGUUCCAUUGUUCUCCCCUUCUGUCUUAAGUUAGGUUAUUUUAAAUAUUGCUUUUAAUUUAUCUGUUGGAUAUUUAGAUAUACUUUUUUACCAUGUAAUUAAAAAAUAUUUGUUCUAGUGAUUUCCGUAUACAUGCUUACUUUUCACAGUCUAACUAGAGUUGGCUUUAUACUACAUCAUGCAAAAAUAAUAAAUGUUGAACAACAGAGAGAUUAUCUACCACUGGGUAUGGUCACAGCAUGCCUGUAACCCCAGAUACUCAGGAGGCCGAGCAGGAGAAUGGCUUGAGCCCAGGAGUUGGAAACCAGCCUGGACAAUAUAGCAAGACCCCAUAUGAAAAAGAUAUUUUUUAAAAAAGAUGCUCUCAAUAAAAUUUGGAAUCUUUCUGGAAAUUACUCUAUGGCACUUUCAGGUAUUUUUCAUUCUCUGUGUUAGAUAUUUUUGAAUCACAGUCAUUUUCUCUGUUCUAUUUACUCUGAAACAUUUUUCACACUUAACACUUGUAUCUUUCAUUUAGGUCCUUAGAAUGACUGUCAAUACCUAGAUUUAUGUUUUAUAAUUAUCCAGAACUUCACCAAAGAUUGCUAUGUCUCUUUCAGCAGCCUAACCAGAAUAUGUAAUACUAAUUAUUACAUAUAAUAAUCACAUAUAAUUAAAUACAUAAUUGUAGUUUUCUUUUGCUUUAGUUUACUUUUCUACCAAUCCAGUUUGAGUCUGGUCUUUUUCCUGAUUUUCUAAACAAACCUCAUUUUUAGAUAAAUAUUAUUUUGGGAAGAAGUCCUUUGAAUAUAUUUCUUAGACUGAAUUCAAAAUACUUUACUGAUUUUUUAAUUUGAACCUCCAAAAUGGAAUAGUACCUAUUUAAUAAAAAAGAAACAUUAAUACCUACAUCCAGUGCUUUAAAUUAUCUCCUGAACACUGCUUUCAAUGUAUCCCACAACAUUUGAUAAGUUGUAUUUUUAUUUUCAUUUAGUUUUGAGUAUUUUAAAAAUUUCUUUAGAGACUUCUUAUAAUCUGUGUUUUUUUUUUUUUAGUAGUAUGUGGUUUAAUCUCCAAAUAUUUGGGGAUUUUCUAGCUAUUAUUUUGUUAUUGAUUUCUAAUUUAAUUCCAUUGUGGUCGGAGGACAUAGUUUGUAUGAUUUCUAUUCUUUCACUUCUUUUAAGUACGUUUUAUGGCCCAGAAUGUGGUCUUUCUUGGUAAAUGUUACAUAUAAUCAUUAGAAACAUGUGCAUUCUACUGCUGUUAUUUGUGAAGUUGUUUAUAAAUACCAAGUAAAUCAAGUUGAUUAAAGGGGCAACUCAGGUCAACUAUAUUUUACUGACUUUCUGCCUGCUUGAUGUAUCAAUUUCUGAAACGGGGUUAUUUCAUCCUCAAGCAUAAUCAUGGAUUUGUCUAUUUCUCCUUGCUGUUUCAUCAGUUUUUGCCUCAGAUAUUUUCACCUCUGUUGGUAGGUGUAUACAUGUUAAGAACGAUGAUGUCUCUUUGAAGAACUAACCCUGUUUUGAUUAUGAAACAUCCUUGCUGAUAAUUUUCUGUUUUCUAAAAUCUGCUCUGCUUUGUCUAAUAUUAAUAGUUUGUCUAGCUUUUUGUUUUAUUAAUAUUAGCAUGGAAUAUCUUCUUUUAUUCCUUUACUUUUAACCUAUUUAUAAUUUGUCUAUUUAAGGGUUUUUUUUUAGACAACAUAGAGUUGGAUAAUUUUUUUAAAUCUAGUCUUCUAGUCUCUAUUUUUAAAUUAAUACAGUUAGGCCAUUGAUAUUUAAAUUGAUUAUUGCUAUUAUUACAUUAAUAUUUACCAUCUUUGAAAUUUUUCUAAUUCAUUACACUUGCUCUUUUCUUCUUCUCUCUCUUUGUGGUUUGAGUUGUGCAUUAUUAUGUGAUUGCAUUUUAUCUUCUUUUUUAAUAUGUCAACUUUACUUCUAUUAUAACAUUUUUUAGUGCUUACCCUAGAAUUAGCAGUAUACAUGUCCAAUCAAAGCCCACUCACAAAUAAUAUAUUAAGCUUCAUGUGUAAUUAAGGUAUAUUAUCAGGGAGUAAUCCCAAUUCCUCUCUCCCAUUCCUUGUAACAUUGUUGUCAUUCACUUUAUUUAUUUAUCAUUUAUUUAUAUGACAUAAUCAUGUAGUAUAUUACUGAUAUUAAUAUUUCAACAGUCAUUUAGAUCAACAAAAUAUUAGAAAAAUAAAAUAUUCUGUUUUAUCUUUCUUUAUUCCUUCUCUGAUUCUCUUUCUUUAAUCAAUCUGAGUUUAUGAUCUAUAUUGUUUUCUUUCCUCUGAAGAUUUUCCAACCAUUUUUUGCACAGCAAGAAAUUUGAGAAGUUAAAUUGGCAGUUAAUUAUCUGUUUUUUAAAGUUUGUGUGACAAGGUCUAUUUCUUGUUCACAUUGAAAAAUAAUGUUGCUGUAUGUAGAAUUCUAAGUUGGUAGAGUUGUGCUCAAUUCUCUUAUUUGCAAUGCUUGUAAAGAAAAGUGUAAUAUAAUUCUUUCCCUUGUUCUUCUAUAUCUAAGUUUUUUUUCCUCUAUUUGAUUUAACAUUUUUUAUUUUCUCUAUUAUUAUUUAUUUAUUUAUUUUGUAAUUUAAACCUGCUAUACUAUACACAGGUGAAGAUUUUUUAGUAAUUGCCCUGUUUGGUUGUGCUCUGAGUUCCAGCCAUGGUUUGGUUUGGCAUUAAUUUUGCAAAAAUCUCACCCAUUAUUACUUAAAAUAUUUCCUCUGCUUAUUUCUCUUUCCCUUUCUUUUUUUUUAGCUUUUAUUUUUGGUAUUUCCAUUAUGAAGAUGAUACCUUUUGCAAUUGUUUUACUGUCUUUGAAUAUUCUGUUCUAUAUUUUAAAAUUUGUUUUUAUUUUUGUGUUUCAACUUUAGUCAUGUCUACUAAUAUUUCAAGGACACCAAUUCAGUGGUGGUCAGUCUACUGAUGAGUAUAUCAAACACAUUCUUCAUCUCUGUUACAGGUUAUUUUUGUUUGUUUUUGUAGCAUCUCCUUGUGACUCUUUUGUGGAACUCCUACCUCUCUUGUUCUUGCAGGCUGUCUACAUUUUCCAUAGAGCAUUAAAUAUUAAAAUUAGUCCAUUUAUAUCCCCAAUCUGAUGACUUCAAAAUCCCUGUUGUACCUGAGUCUGGUUCUAUUGCUUUAUUUUUCUCUUCAAGCUAUGAAUUUUCUUGUGUUUUAGCAUGUUUUAUAACUUUUUGUUGAAAGCUGAGCAUGAUGUAUCUGGUAAUGAGAACUAAGUUAAAUAGCCCUCUGGUGUGGGUUUUGUGUUACUCUGGCUAGGACUUAGGCUGUGUUUUAUUUCUGCUGUAGCAGUAGGUGUCAGAGGCCUUAAUUUCUUCUUACAUACUUUUUUUCUUCUUUAUUGUCAUUAGGUUUCCCUAAAAACUUAUUUUUAUAAAUAAAUUUUGCUUUUUGCAGCUCUUUCAGCUGUAUCAGCAGCUGAAAUGCUGCUAUGAUACUGGAGUUGUGUUCAUGUGGUGAUAUGGUGGUAUGGGAGAGAAGCAUUCUGUAAUACUAUGAUAAAUCUUAGUCUUUAGUAGCCCUGUAUUACUGGUCCUAAUCUUCACAAAUAUUUUUCAGUUAUUUUUCCCCACCUUAGUUGAGAAAGUAAGGCUAGAGGGGUUGGAAUUGGGUAAGGCUUCUCCAAUGUCUUUGACCUUGUUCAGUGGGCCUUUGCCACAAAGAGUGCUGAGGGUUUAUUCAAAAAUGACUACUUUUCCCAAGAGUAUUCUUGGCCCUUUUCAUUGUGAAAACAGGUGGGGUUACUGGAGGAAAAGCCCAUGAAAGAUUGGAGGAAAAAACCUAAGACAGAGUUCCAGAAAAUUCUCACUUUCACACUAGUCCAUACUCUGCCUCCAGCACUGAGUCUCAGUUACCAUUUAAGUGUUCCUACCAGUUUAUAGCUCUAAAGGAUUUUAAUCCAGAUAAGCUGAUCUCAGAGGUGGGUCUCUGUAUUCUCUGGGAUCUCCAUCUUAGUGGUGUUAGUUUGCCCUAUGACCUAAAUAUUCUGAUAGCUCUCAGAAGAGUUACUGAGUUUCAGUUUGUUCAGUUUUUUCUUGGUUUAAGGACAAAUGUGACAACUUCAAAGUUCCUUAGAUGUCGACUAAAAUUGGAAGUCAUAACAUCCAUUAUUUUUUUCCUCCCCCUCUGUUUGAUUAAUUCAUGACUCAGCUGUGGUUGAAAUUCUACUCUUGGUCUUUGAAUUUCAAAAUUACAGUCAAACAUAGUAUCAUUAAAAUAACAGGUACAAUUUGAGAGAUUAUGCCUAUGACUGACUAAAUACUCAUACGCAGUCACAGGAAUGCACGUACUGCUAAUCCGAACUCUUUCUUACCAAAAAAUCAGCAGCUCAAAACGAGAAGAAAAAAAAAUGAAUUUUGAAAUUGCUAGACAGCUAACCUAAAGCCUAGACCUCUGUUUAUCAAUGUAUACUCUUGUAAGCCAUUCAGGGCUUAUAAUGAAAACAAUCUUGAGAAAUUUUAAUGUGAAUCCCUCUGACUUUUCUACCUUGACCAAGGAUAAAUGUCCAUAAUUAUCUCUUGGAUCCUAAGGCUUUUCAUUUACUCUUUGUUGACUACAUCACCAUCUUCUGUAACUGCAUUUUGAUUUGCAUUUAUUUGCAAUGUUUGUGCUAUCUGUGGACCAUUUAUGAGCAGAAGCUGAAUAAUUUUUUAUUGUUCUUAUUCUAAUGCAUCUCAUAUAUCAGAAAAAUAAGUAUGCCUUAUUAAUGUCUGUAAACGUAAUGCAUUUCUAGAGAGCACUGCUUUUAUGGCUUUGAGUUACUUUGAUUUAGAGGGUUUAAAAGGAAUUGCAUAUGAUGUAACAUAUUUGAAAGUGUCUAUGUAGGUAGAAAAGUUUCUGAAUUAAUUCACCUUAAAUGUUAAAAAUAUUCUAGCUAAAGAGAAUGAACUUUUUCCCAAAUAAACAGAAAAAAAUAUGGAUAUAUCUUUUGCCAAAGGGUUAGAAAAAUUAGAAUCAUUUAAUUACAAGUCCAUGCAUGUAUAGCACAUGAUAUAUAAUUUCUUAAGUAUAGAUUAAUGCUGUAAAUAAACUUCCAUUAUAUAAAUGAAUAAAUUUCCUUAACACCCCGUUAUUGUACAAUUCAUUUUGGCAUAAGAUGAUACUAGAGAGUAUUUUCAAAUGAAGCUCCAUAUUUCUAAAAUAUUAAUAAAAAUAAAAUCUCAAAAUGUUGCUUGUUGAUGAAAUUUCAAAUAUUUGGAAAGUUUGUUAAGUUACCUUGUUAAGUUACCUUGUUCUACCUAGUUGUUAAGCUAACUAUGUUCUUUGAUUAUGGAUGUAUAAAAUUCUUUAACAUGAUUUUUAAAAAUUCAUUUCCAUUUAUAUUGAAAAAUAUAGUAAAUUCGUAUGUAGAAGAAAUACAUCAAACAAUUUUCCCAUUAAUUUUAUCUUAUUCAGGUUGAACCCAUUGUAUUUUUGCAUAUUAAUUGACUGAAUAUAUUUGUAACUUACAGCUUUUAUUUUUACUGCUAAUAAUAAAAAUAAUAUGUUAGAGGCUUUGUAUGUAUUAAAUCACUGAAACUCUCUGCAACUUUAGGAAAUAGUUUAUAUUAAACCCAUUUUAUAGAUGACAAAAUUGAGUUAGACAAGUUAAGUAACUGCUCAGAGCUUUAUAUACACUAAAUAUCAGAAUUAGGCUUUAUCUCAGAACUCUUUGACUCCAAGAUACAGGAAAUUAAGAACUAUUAUACUUUCUCUAUUUCUAAAUGUAAUACAAUUCACACAUUUUAAAUAUCUUAAGUGUCAAUAUCUGCCGUACAUUAAAACAAGCUACAUCAGAGAAAGUUUAUUGUCUUUUUAAGUAUUAUUUGGAAAAAAAUCUUAACUAUGUACAUAUAUAUUUAAAACUACCUAGAAUAUAUUUUCAACAAUAGAAAAUCAAAUGAAGUAAUAAAUGCUGUGGUCCGAAUAUCUGUGUCCUCUUCAGAUUUUUAUGUUGCAAUCUUAACCUUAAGUUAAUGGCAUUAAGAGGUAAGUCCUGUGGGAGGUGAUACACUGAUGGGGACAUCCCAUUAAGUAACCAGUGGGCUAAGGCAGCUCAUUUGCCAUUUCUACAGUGUGAGAAUGCAGCAACAAGGUGCCAGCUAUGAAGCAAAGAGCCCUUACCAGACAAUGAAUCUACUGACAACUUGAUCUUGGACUCUUCAGCUUCCCAAACUGGUUACCAACUAUAUCACAUAAUGGUCCUAAGGAUUAAAUGAAAAAAAAUGCAGUAAGAUAAAGCUGAUUUAUCAAGGUUGGGGAAAUGCAAUAAAGAAAGAGGUUAAUAAUUCACAGAGCCAGCUGAAUAGAAUACCAGAGUUUUAUUUCUACACAAAUCAGUCUCCCAGCCAUGGUCCAGGCUUGAGGGUGGAGCCCUCACGAGAGACCUCACCAUUUUCUACCUAGUAUUUCCCUGUCUCCUGUCUAUAUCGCAGAGCAUUAAAUUGAAGCCAAGGGACUGAAAUAAGAAACUCCAGAGAACAACAAGAGGAACUGAAAUUGCAUGGUCAUUAGAAGGCAUCUUAAGAAUAACUGUGUAGCAGAGAAUGAGGACUCAUAUCAAAGUUUGAUUCUUUUAGUAUUGGAUUUUAUGAUGCAAUGGAAAAGAUACAUAGGGGAUCAAAUACAUAUGAUGGUGGAAGUGAAAACCAUUCCUUUGUGCUUCCUUGUUUCCUGAAGGGGUGCCUCUGAAAUUCAGUGAUCUCAACAGGCCACGUGGAGAGAGAGGUCUGCUUGGACACAUAAGCCCAGACAUGCAUGCCACUUGCUCUCUUUUUUCCCAUUUAUUUCCAGCUUGGGGUGGCAGAUAUGUCCUCCCCAUAACUCAGGCUUACCAUCGAGGCUUAUAACUUCUUGCCAUUCCAGUUCCAUAAGCCAGUUUGAUAACGCUUACAGGGUAUCAUAUGUAGCCCAGCCAUUUCUGGAUAUAUAUUUUUUAUUUCUUGCUGCAUCACACACCUAUUUUCUGAUUCAGUGUAGCAGGACUUGCUACCAUUUAUCACAACGAGCACUGGAAUCUCUCUUCUGGAAGUGAGAAAACUGAAGUGAAGAGAGGCUGCAGAAUUGAUCUAAGGCUAGCAGGACUUACUGUUGAAGUCUAUCAUGGACCAAAGGUCUCAAACCAGUAAUCUUUUUUAUAAUUCCUGCUGUAGCUCAUGCAAUGCUAAUACUUUCUGUAAUGCUAAUUAUGUCAUUUGAAUUAAAUUUAAAGGUUCUUUAGAAACCUUUUUAAGACAGGUGAAUCCUGUUUUAAUAGGGUAAUGAUUACUUUGUAACCUUAUAG